rnacentral:lncRNA from 1 species
GAAUGAGCAGCUUGGCUGGGACAGGGAAGCACUGGCCUUGUCCCCUCAUCCCAAGAGGCACUGGAGGAGAGCCCUGCCUGGAUGGAGCUGGCAGGCCCAGGUGGGGAAGGUGCAGGGCAGCAGUUUGUUUUUUUUAAAGGGGAAGAGGAAUUAAUUUCAUCCUUUCUGCCACUUGAGCCUCAAACAGUGAUAAUUUGGAACAUAUGCAGCUGCCACCAGGGCUUCCAAGAGAAGGAUUUUGUCUGCCUGGCACUACCUGUGGAGUAGAAAGAAGGCUGGUCCCAUCAUGCUUCAUGUCUUCAGUGUGGGGUGGAGUACACGUCUCUUCCCUCUGCUCUGCUCCAUAGUUCCCCUUAACUCUGUGCUUAAAUCCUUUCUCAAGAAAGCUUCAGCUUUUCUGGAAUGGCUUCAGAGAGGAAAGUUUGUUGCUAUUUGCAGCAGCAAACAGCUAAGAAAUCAAAGGCAACAAUUCAUAAUACAGAUCAGCAAAAGAACUGAAUGGAAGAAAUUAUGUUCUUGUUACCUACAUUUGGAGCUGCCACAUAGCAGCAGAAAGAUUUCCUACUGCCGCCUCCAUCAUACUCAAGCACCCAAAAAAUCUAUUUUGAGG